AUUGAACGCUGGCGGCAGGCCUAACACAUGCAAGUCGAGCGGAGCGGCGGACGGGUGAGUAAUGCCUAGGUAUCUGCCUGGUAGUGGGGGAUAACGUCCGGAAACGGGCGCUAAUACCGCAUACUAUCAGAUGAGUCUCGGUUGGAUUAGCUAGUUGGUGGGGUAAAGGCCUACCAAGGCGACGAUCCGUAACGGGUCUGAGAGGAUGAUGCACCACACUGGAACUGAGACACGGUCCAGACUCCUACGGGAGGCAGCAGUGGGGAAUAUUGGACAAUGGGCGAAAGCCUGAGCCAGCCAUGCCGCGUGUGUGAAGAAGGUCUUCGGAGUGUAAAGCACUUUAAGUUGGGAGGCGUUACCAACAGAAUAAGCACCGGCUAACUUCGUGCCAGCCGCCGCGGUAAUUC
rnacentral:rRNA from 1 species